rnacentral:rRNA from 1 species
GGUAAUACCGAAUAAUGUUGUUGAGUUAUGACUUGAUAAAGAAAGGGGCUUUGGCCCCGCCUUAAGAUGAGCCCGCGUCCCAUUAGCUAGUUGGUAAGGUAAAGGCCUACCAAGGCGAUGAUGGGUAGCCGGCCUGAGAGGGUGAACGGCCACACUGGGACUGAGAUACGGCCCAGACUCCUACGGGAGGCAGCAGCUAAGAAUAUUCCGCAAUGGACGAAAGUCUGACGGAGCGACGCCGCGUGGAUGAGGAAUGCCGAAAGGUUGUAAAAUCCUUUUGCGGAUGAAGAAUAAGUAGUGGAGGGAAUGCCAUUAUGAUGACGUUAGUCCGUGAAUAAGCCCCGGCUAAUUACGUGCCAGCAGCCGCGGUAACACGUAAGGGGCGAGCGUUGUUCGGAAUUAUUGGGCGUAAAGGGCGCGUAGGCGGUUGUGCAAGUCUGGCGUGAAAGGCAAGUGCUUAACACUUCGACUGCGCUGGAAACUGUGUAACUAGAGUCAUGGAGGGGGAGUUGGAAUUCCUGGUGUAGGGGUGAAAUCUGUAGAUAU